CGGACUAUUUCAGAGAAUCCCGGUAAUCUAAAAAUUGGGAAAAUCAUUAAAACUACUGAGUGAUACGCAGAAUUUCCAGAAUAUUUCGACUUUGUUAUAGGCUAGUGCUUUUGCACAAGAAGUUGCGUUGUCAGUCCAAUUUUGUUUUAAAUGUUUGGGAGUCAAGAUCACCCGACAAGAAACAUCAGUGGGUUGAAAGUGGGAACUUUUGAAGAAGAAAUGGAUCCUGUUCGUUCUUGGGUGCGGAAUGUCGGCGUUAUUGAUGCAAACAUAGCGGCACAGAGUGGAUUGGCCUUAUCCCGUGCUCACUUUGAAAAGCAGCCUCCCUCCAAUCUCAGAAAGUCCAACUUCUUCCAUUUUGUUCUGGCACUCUAUGACCGCAGUGGACAGCCUGUGGAAGUGGAGAGGACAGCGUUUGUUGACUUUGUGGAGCAGGAUAAGACGGGGGAAAAGACCAAUAAUGGAACUCACUACAAGCUGCAGCUCCUCUAUAGUAAUGGUGUUCGCACAGAACAAGACCUUUAUGCACGUCUUAUUGAUUCUGUCACUAAACAGCCUAUAUCAUAUGAGGGACAGAACAAGAAUCCAGAAAUGUGCCGUGUUCUUCUAACUCAUGAGGUCAUGUGCAGUCGCUGCUGUGAGAAAAAAAGCUGCGGCAAUCGUAAUGAGACACCAUCUGACCCUGUCAUCAUUGACAGAUUUUUCUUGAAGUUUUUCCUAAAGUGCAAUCAAAAUUGUCUGAAGACAGCAGGGAACCCCCGAGACAUGAGGAGAUUUCAGGUGGUUUUGACGACUACAGUCAGUGUGGAUGGUCCUGUACUAGCCAUUUCUGAUAAUAUGUUUGUGCACAAUAACUCUAAACAUGGACGUCGCUCUCGUAGAACGGAUUCAAAUGAGACAGUGGAGACUAGCAUGGAAUAUGCUACUCCCUGUAUCAAAGCCAUCAGCCCUAGUGAAGGUUGGACUACAGGUGGGGCUAUGGUAAUUGUGAUUGGGGAAAACUUCUUUGACGGUCUGCAGGUGGUGUUCGGGAGCAUGCUCGUGUGGAGUGAGUUAAUUACUCCUCAUGCUAUCCGAGUUCAAACUCCUCCUCGACACAUACCAGGGGUUGUAGAAGUUACGCUAUCUUACAAAUCUAAGCAGUUCUGUAAAGGAGCUCCAGGGCGCUUUAUUUAUACAGCGCUGAAUGAGCCAACUAUUGACUACGGUUUCCAGAGACUUCAAAAGCUGAUCCCUCGACAUCCUGGUGACCCUGACAAAUUGGCAAAGGAAAUGUUACUUAAAAGAGCAGCAGACGUUGUUGAAUCACUCUAUGGAAAUACCACCAGCAAUCAGGACAUGUUGCUGAAACGGGCUGCAGACAUAGCCGAGGCUCUUUACAGCGUGCCACGACCUCACAGUCAGCUGCAGGCCAUGCCAAGUUCCCCUGUCCAUGGCAGCGUCAUGGGCCUCAGCUCUUAUCCCACCCAGCUGGGUGUAAGCAUUGGAGAACCUGGGCAAACCAGCAGCCAAGGUUACAACCGAAACCCAAGCAGCUUGUCACCACGGGGCUACCCUUCAGCAUCAACCCCGCAACAGUCAGGUUAUGGAUCCAAUGGGGGCAUGAGUGCAAGUUACGGAGCAGUGCCCAUGAGUAGUCUGGGUGUUUCAGGGUCACCUGGCUUUAACAGUGCCUCACCAAACAGCUCUCCUUAUGCUAGUGAGUCAUGCCAUCUAGCCCCACUGUACCUGGCUCCAGUUCUUCAUCCUCCCUUUUGCCCUUCACAUCUUUCCCAUCCUCGAACAAACAAAAAAGUGCCUUUGCUCCUGUCUUGAGACCACAGGGUUCACCAUCACCUGUUUGCCAAACAUCAGGAGGCUCCAGCUUUAGAGCAAUGACAGGCCUUGUGGUUCCCCCAAUGUAGAGGAUGAGUCUUUUCCAGUCAUAAGCUCUACAGUUAGUGGCUAGAACUGGACUGACAUCAAUGUUGUCUCUUACAAGCCACACUGAAUGAAAAAGACACAGUUGUCUAAUCAUCUGAUGAAGACACAUCAAGAGUAUUAGAAACCACAACGACAUCUUCAGAAGAUUUUGGGAACCUUCUUAAAACAUGUCCACUCUAUGCACACCAUUUGCCUCUGAUUAUGAGGAGGUUGCCAAAGGGAUGGUGUUACUUAAAGGUUCUUCCAGCCACAUAAUGCCAAAAGAGGAAUAAUUUUAUUAGAAAACAUGAGACUUGGGACUGUUACACAUUUCUGGCCAUAUGUUCUCAGCAGACAUAUUGGUCAAUAGACUUUCACCGCAGUAGAUGCCAGUAAAAGGGAUGCAAAUUGUGUCAAAACUGAGAUGCUUGAUAGAUCUACAUCCCUAAACUGAAAUUGUGUUUUUGAAAGCAUAUAUCAGGCUUUUCAUUUAGAGAAACAGAAAAUGUCUAUUUAGGUUUAGGUUUAUGAACUGAUUACCUCAUAUAUUGACUUAUUUAAUGACAGAAACUAUAUAAGUUAUAUUUUUAGGUUAAGUACUAAUAUAAGGAACCGUAAUUGUAUUUGCUAUUGUUAUCUAAUUGUAUUUGUUUUUCUGUAAACAUUUUAUAUGUUGUCAUUUUGUUAUUCAUAUUAAAAUAGUGACUGUAGAUUUUUACAUGCAAAAGAGUUUUAUUGUUAAAUAUACAGGCAAUAUGUUAUUCUUUUCCAACUAAGAACGUGUUUGUUAGAAAGUAUAUACUUUGUUUGUCAACAUUAAGUCAAGAGGACAAGAACAUGAAGGACUAAGUAGUUUUAAUUAUUCUGUUCGAGGAAUCAACACUAAAGUAAUCACAACCACUCUCAGAUUAUUUUA